AAACUUGUCCACUCCUUACGGGGGAGACAGUCAUGAGACGUGAGUAUAAGACCUGAGUGUAAAGACCUUAGGGUGAAGCAAUUGGAGGGCAAGCUUUGGUGCCAGCAGCCGCGGUAACUCCAACUCCAAGAGUGUCUAUGGUGGAUGCUGCAGUUAAAGGGUCCGUAGUCGUGAAUGCAAUUAAAUGUCGUUGUUCAAUAGCGAUGAGUUUGCUAAUGUUUGCGGAACGGAUAGGGAGUGUAGUAUAGACUGGCGAAGAAUGAAAUCUCAAGACCCAGUUUGGACUAACGGAGGCGAAGGCGACACUCUUAGACGUAUCUUAGGAUCAAGGACGAAGGCAGGAGUAUCGAAAGUGAUUAGACACCGCUGUAGUUCCUGCAGUAAACUAUGCCGACAGCCUGUGUGUGAGAAUACGUGGGCGGGAGAAAUCUUAGUGUUCGGGCUCUGGGGAUAGUACGCUCGCAAGGGUGAAACUUAAAGCGAAAUUGACGGAAGGACACUACCAGGAGUGGAUUGUGCUGCUUAAUUUAACUCAACGCGGGAAAACUUACCAGGGUCAAGUCAUUCGUUGAUCGAAUACGUGAGAAUGGCAGGAGUGGUGCAUGG
rnacentral:rRNA from 1 species